UACGAAGCUCUGUUUACACUUGGGAUGCUCUUUCAAGGGGUUAGGUGUAGGGUCUGGGGUCGGCGGUGGGGUGGGGCGGCAGCAAGAGCGAGUGUCGGCGGCGGGGGUGGGGCGGCAGCUACAGCGGGUGCCGCCGGCGGGGGUGGGGCGGCGGCAGGAGCGGGUGCCGCCGGCGUGGUGGGCCGGCGGCUGGAGCGGGUGCAGCCGGCGUGGUGGGGCGGCAACUGGAGUGGGGGCCGCCUGCGGAAGGAGGUGUAGGAAGACUGGGGUUCCGACUCCAGCAAGGGCAGAUAGAGGGGACACACACGCGCAUGUAGCAGCCGUUCGCACUCCUCCCCAACGGCGUCAACGAAGAAGCGGAAGAGGGUAGAGUGCAGGGGUAGCGGCCUGCGGAGCGGUGCAGAGAGUGGAACGGGGAGAGGUACCACGUAGCGCCUUGAUAAAGACCUCCGGCAGCGGUGGCGUAAUCAACGGCCUACCAGAAGGGGACGAGGUAACGCGACGAAAGUCCUCUGUUACUCAGGCCUUGUCUACUCACUCCUAGUAUUGACCUACCAAAGUAUCAACCUAAAGAUGGUCAGGUUGUCUAAGUACAGUAGACCGAUAAAAAGACCCUUCUACUAAGCAGAUACAAUAGAAGUUCCUGCUGCGAUACCUACUAGUGUAGCCGUUACCGUAGUGAGCUCAAACGUUGUACUGACUCUUGUACUACUAUUGUUGAUACGUAGGCCUCCUCCUAGAGUGAUCAGGCAAACGUGAAGUUGAUUACUCGCUGUUAGCAUACCAUAAAACAACGUCGUUGACAAUAUACCUUAUACUACCUACUCUUUAUCAUUUUACUACGCAUACAUACACUACGACGACUAGUACUUAGAUCCACUGAAUCUUCACACACACACACAAAACAAAGUAACGGGACACGUUACGCUACCUAGUCUUAGUCUCACCAAAGUACAUACGCAUCUUUACAAAAACGAAAACUCGUUCAGGUACAUGUUUAAGAGCAUACAGUUAACGACCUACAACUUUGUAUCAAAUUAUAUAGCCAUACAUGCAUUUGUGACUAAAACCUGCCGAAAGGAUUAUAUACCC
rnacentral:rRNA from 1 species